rnacentral:lncRNA from 1 species
AGGAAAUCGGGCUCCCCCAGAAGGGGUCCUUUCGGGCAGAACAUAAACAGAGGGGCGAGCUGUCCCCGGGUUCAUACAGCAAACGCCGGCCCGGCCCGGCGGAGAGCAGCUGACUACUGAGAGCCAAGCAGGGAACGAGGUGCAAGGGGUUGUUGAGCCGGCUCCCUGCAGCCGGUGAGGGAAGAAAUGAUAGUAGCCAGACCCGGUCCAGCAAAGCCAAAGGGCCCCGGCCGUGGAGAAAGUGUUCCUGUCUAUAAAUAACUCCGCCUGGGGGACAAACAGAAACAUCAAAGCCGGGCGCGGGAGCGCAGGCUGGGCGAGCCGGCUCGCUCCUGGGGAGCUGGAAAGGGAGCGCGUCCCCCGCCGGAGCCGCCGUCAGCGGGCAGCGCGUACCUCCGGGGCCCGGGCGUCCACGGCCCCUCCCGGGUGCUCCUGGCCCGUGACACCCGCAGCUCCGGGAGCCGGUGUCAAGCGGCGAGACGCACGGGAGUGGGGCGGCGUCUUCACCAACCACCGCGCAGACGGAGGCCUCGUGAGCAGCAAAGGGCCAGAUCCCCGCAGCCCCAGGGCCUGGCCACACCCCAGCCAGGCUCAGGCGGCGCCAGGGGUACCGCUGGCCACUCUCCGCUGAGACUCCGGACACCACCAGGGCCCCCUGCCCGCAGGGUCGCUCUCAGAAGUGUGGCCUGCCCCCCAGCAGGGCGAAGAGCCCCCGCUUGUCCCUUAGGACUGCUGCCCUCAGUGGUCAAGAUGCCACCUGGCUGUGGAAGCCUGCGGCGCCGCACUGACGCUAAUGGGUGGGUGAACACCUGAGCCUGUGCAGUGGCUGAGAACUCUCUGCGGGAGGACACCGGGAACACAAUAAACCCCGUGAGAGAGAAGAUUGCAACCCAGCCCCUCAGAGAAGGUACUCCUCCCUCCUCUCAGUAGGGGAGGAGAUGCUGGGAUCUUAACACUUACUCUCCACCUUCCCCUUCUCACCCCAAGUAAGGAUGGGGAGGCCUGAGAGGGUCCUGAUUUUGACCUCAGAACCCCGUUUCCGUUAUUUUCAGGUCAAGAGUUUCAAGAAGUUCCCCAGCCCUUGUUUCCAGACUCCAGAACUGUGUGUUACCCCACUACUACUGCUGGGCAUUGGACCUAGAGUCUCAGGCACCCUAGGGACGCAGCUGCUGCUGCU